UACGGAGGAUCCGAGCGUUAUCCGGAUUUAUUGGGUUUAAAGGGAGCGUAGGUGGAUUGUUAAGUCAGUUGUGAAAGUUUGCGGCUCAACCGUAAAAUUGCAGUUGAAACUGGCAGUCUUGAGUACAGUAGAGGUGGGCGGAAUUCGUGGUGUAGCGGUGAAAUGCUUAGAUAUCACGAAGAACUCCGAUUGCGAAGGCAGCUCACUGGACUGCAACUGACACUGAGGCUCGAAAGUGUGGGUAUCAAACGGG
rnacentral:rRNA from 1 species